CUAAGUUUGAUGGCGACCGGCGCACGGGUGAGUAACACGUAUCCAACCUGCCGAUGACUCGGGGAUAGCCUUUCGAAAGAAAGAUUAAUACCCGAUGGCAUAGUUCUUCCGCAUGGUGGAACUAUUAAAGAAUUUCGGUCAUCGAUGGGGAUGCGUUCCAUUAGGUUGUUGGCGGGGUAACGGCCCACCAAGCCUUCGAUGGAUAGGGGUCCUGAGAGGAAGGUCCCCCACAUUGGAACUGAGACACGGUCCAAACUCCUACGGGAGGCAGCAUG
rnacentral:rRNA from 1 species